GUCAGUGUGGCGAAAUUGGUAAACGCGCCCGACUCGCAAUCGGGUGGUUCAUGGAGUGUCGGCUCCUUGCCUUACGGGUUCAAGUCCCGUCACUGACA
rnacentral:tRNA from 1 species